rnacentral:rRNA from 1 species
UACGAAGGGGGCUAGCGUUGCUCGGAUUGACUGGGCGUAAAGGGCGCGUAGGCGGUUUGUACAGUCAGACGUGAAAUUCCUGGGCUCAACCUGGGGGCUGCGUUUGAUACGUAUGGACUUGAGUUCGGAAGAGGGUCGUGGAAUUCCCAGUGUAGAGGUGAAAUUCGUAGAUAUCUGGAGGAAUACCGGUGGCGAAGGCGGCAUCCUGGACCAUUACUGACGCUGAGGCGCGAAAGCUAGGGGAGCAAACGGG